GAUGAAGAACGCAGCGAAAUGCGAUACGUAAUGUGAAUUGCAAAUUCAGUGAAUCAUCGAGUCUUUGAACGCACAUUGCGCCCCCUGGUAUUCCGGGGGGCAUGCCUGUCCGAGCGUCAUUGCUGCCCUCAAGCACGGCUUGUGUGUUGGGCCCCGUCCUCCGAUCCCGGGGGACGGGCCCGAAAGGCAGCGGCGGCACCGCGUCCGGUCCUCGAGCGUAUGGGGCUUUGUCACCCGCUCUGUAGGCCCGGCCGGCGCUUGCCGAUCAACCCAAAUUUUUAUCCAGGUUGACCUCGGAUCAGGUAGGGAUACCCGCUGAACUUAAGCAGAUCAAUAAGCGGAGGA
rnacentral:misc_RNA from 1 species